ACGCGAGCGGGACCGGGAGGACCCGUCUGGGUGGGAACCAGCCCGGAGCGACUCCGAGCGCGGGCAGCACCGGGGCACGGUGUGUGGACGUUGCCAUGCCAAUGCUCGGUGUUUGUUGCUUCUGGUUAUUUUAGGACCAAAGGAUAAGAAAGUUACUUGGGAGAGAGGGAGCUGCUUGGAUGGCCGCGAGCCCUUCCCUGUUUAUGCAGGAAGCGGGUUAAUCUUUCACACACACACACACACACACAUACACACGCACCAGCUGAAUCUGUGCCAGGUGGACUUUCAAAAUCCUCACUGCGAACUCUGCAGCCCCGAAACAAGAACCAGCAUGCUUUGGCUAGGGCCCGUCCCAGGACGAUGGAGCCUUCAGACUGGGUCCCAGGAUGUUGGAGCCUCGCUGAAGCUGAUUCACAGUAGACGUUUUAUUAACACAUCCACAUUCUGUAUAAGUAAGAAACAAAACCACCACCACAAAACCAAAAUAACAAAUGCACAUCAUUCUGGCUGCGUGGGAGGGGCUGUACCCUUGGCUCAGUCCAGAGUUAGGAUCCACAUUUGAUGCUCCUCCUGUGGAAGACGCUUCAUGUUAGGAGACAUUCACAACUAACGAGCAGUGUGAGCUGAAGGCGUGGAGACCUGUUCUCGAAAGGAGGAUUAACAUUGGUUUCCAGCGAACCCAUGUUUCACCAUCGGCUCUCAGGGCAAAUCAAAAACAAGCAAACACAGACCUGGUUUCAUGGUGUCCGCUGAUUUCCGUGUGUGAUUGUCCCCGCCCUGGCCUAUUGCAAGCUGCCAGCUCGACGUCUGGAGCUCGGAGUGGGGACGAACUGGGCCGUGGGACCCCCUGAGGUAGCUUCACCGUGGAGCAGAAUGCGGUGGCCUCCAGGCCUCGCUCAUGGUAAAGCGCGGCGAAGUCAUUAGGGAGAAGAGAUCUGGAGGAGCCGAAUGUUUUGCCCCAGAUGAGAGAACUAGCAAGGACAAGGGCAGCCGCUGCCUGGCAAAUACCCAGUUACCUGGUUCCCUGCCCAGGAAAAGGAAGGUCCAUGCAGACCUCUCAGGGUCCAAGACCCCAGAGCCAUGUAUCCACAUCUUGAUUACGCUCCCGUGUAUUUCUCCUCUGAGGCAGGAAGCAAAUACUGUACUAAUGAUUGACUUACAAGUGAGAGUUUGGAGCCGGCAGGGGCCUGGAGAGUUUAGAACAGCCCUUGUCUUGAUUCACAUGAUUAGAAGAACGAGGCUCAGAACACUCAAGCUUUCUAACGUGCCCCAGGCCCCAUGAAGUUUUCCUCGUAGCCCGGACAGGAAGCCGGGUAUCCAACACGGAGUUACGCCAGGUGUGGCCUAAUGGAAGCAGAUGCACAGACACCCCAGGAACCUACGGCCACUCGCUAGCUGUGAAGCUUGGACACGCCGCUGAGCACUCGCAGGCUGCUGUAUGGCUCAUGCGACUCCUGCGGCUGCUGCAGAGAUCACUAACCACACUUCUGCUCAUUUACUCAACACAUUGACGGUGGCAACUUGUCUGAGCCAGGCCCUGGGGCAGGCACGGGAUGUAGGAGGGAGUAUUUCAAGAUCCUACUCUUGUGGAGCCUACAUCCUGGUAAACUUACAUUCAAGUAGCUAAAUACAGAGGCUGGCGAAAGUAGGUUUACAUUUGCACUACAGAUAAACAAUACAAGACUUAAUAAGAAUAUAAGAAUAAACUGUUUCAUGUACUCACAACUAAAGCCUACAUGUGUCCACCCCUGUAAAUGUGUCAGUAAAUCUAAUCAGUGAGCCCUGGGAUUCAGGGCACCAUAUAUUCAUUGAAAAACAAUAGGGUGUUUUUUCAUAAACAUAAAAGUAAGAAAAUGCAGCCCUAGCCGGUUUGGCUCAGUGGAUAGAACGCUGCCCUGUAGAC